rnacentral:rRNA from 1 species
CAUGCGGAGGUCUUACCAAUAUGAGGCGGGCUGGACCUCUCGGGGUUACAGCCUUGCUGAAUUAUUCACCCUUGUCUUUUGCGUACUUCUUGUUUCCUUGGUGGGUUCGCCCACCACUAGGACAAACAUAAACCUUUUGUAAUUGCAAUCAGCGUCAGUAACAAAUUAAUAAUUACAACUUUCAACAACGGAUCUCUUGGUUCUGGCAUCGAUGAAGAACGCAGCGAAAUGCGAUAAGUAGUGUGAAUUGCAGAAUUCAGUGAAUCAUCGAAUCUUUGAACGCACAUUGCGCCCUUUGGUAUUCCAAAGGGCAUGCCUGUUCGAGCGUCAUUUGUACCCUCAAGCUUUGCUUGGUGUUGGGCGUCUUGUCUCUAGCUUUGCUGGAGACUCGCCUUAAAGUAAUUGGCAGCCGGCCUACUGGUUUCGGAGCGCAGCACAAGUCGCACUCUCUAUCAGCAAAGGUCUAGCAUCCAUUAAGCCUUUUUUUCAACUUUUGACCUCGGAUCAGGUAGGGAUACCCGCUGAACUUAAGCAUAUCAAUAAGGCGGAGGAAA